GACGAACGCUGGCGGCGUGCUUAACACAUGCAAGUCGAACGGAAAGGCCCUGCUUUUGUGGGGUGCUCGAGUGGCGAACGGGUGAGUAACACGUGAGUAACCUGCCCUUGACUUUGGGAUAACUUCAGGAAACUGGGGCUAAUACCGGAUAGGAGCUCCUGCUGCAUGGUGGGGGUUGGAAAGUUUCGGCGGUUGGGGAUGGACUCGCGGCUUAUCAGCUUGUUGGUGGGGUAGUGGCUUACCAAGGCUUUGACGGGUAGCCGGCCUGAGAGGGUGACCGGCCACAUUGGGACUGAGAUACGGCCCAGACUCCUACGGGAGGCAGCAGUGGGGAAUAUUGCACAAUGGGCGGAAGCCUGAUGCAGCAACGCCGCGUGCGGGAUGACGGCCUUCGGGUUGUAAACCGCUUUCGCCUGUGACGAAGCGUGAGUGACGGUAAUGGGUAAAGAAGCACCGGCUAACUACGUGCCAGCAGCCGCGGUGAUACGUAGGGUGCGAGCGUUGUCCGGAUUUAUUGGGCGUAAAGGGCUCGUAGGUGGUUGAUCGCGUCGGAAGUGUAAUCUUGGGGCUUAACCCUGAGCGUGCUUUCGAUACGGGUUGACUUGAGGAAGGUAGGGGAGAAUGGAAUUCCUGGUGGAGCGGUGGAAUGCGCAGAUAUCAGGAGGAACACCAGUGGCGAAGGCGGUUCUCUGGGCCUUUCCUGACGCUGAGGAGCGAAAGCGUGGGGAGCGAACAGGCUUAGAUACCCUGGUAGUCCACGCUGUAAACGGUGGGUACUAGGUGUGGGGUCCAUUCCACGGGUUCCGUGCCGUAGCUAACGCUUUAAGUACCCCGCCUGGGGAGUACGGCCGCAAGGCUAAAACUCAAAGGAAUUGACGGGGCCCCGCACAAGCGGCGGAGCAUGCGGAUUAAUUCGAUGCAACGCGUAGAACCUUACCUGGGUUUGACAUGGAUCGGGAGUGCUCAGAGAUGGGUGUGCCUCUUUUGGGGUCGGUUCACAGGUGGUGCAUGCCUGUCGUCAGCUCGUGUCGUGAGAUGUUGGGUUAAGUCCCGCAACGAGCGCAACCCUUGUUCACUGUUGCCAGCACGUUAUGGUGGGGACUCAGUGGAGACCGCCGGGGUCAACUCGGAGGAAGGCGGGGAUGACGUCAAGUCCCCAUGCCCCUUAUGUCCAGGGCUUCACGCAUGCUACAAUGGCUGGUACAGAGAGUGGCGAGCCUGUGAGGGUGAGCGAAUCUCGGAAAGCCGGUCUCAGUUCGGAUUGGGGUCUGCAACUCGACCUCAUGAAGUCGGAGUCGCUAGUAAUCGCAGAUCAGCAACGCUGCGGUGAAUACGUUCCCGGG
rnacentral:rRNA from 1 species